rnacentral:rRNA from 1 species
GACGAACCGUGCGAACGUUAUUCGGAAUCACUGGGCUUAAAGGGCGCGUAGGCGGGCGGACAAGUCGGGGGUGAAAUCGUUCGGCCCAACCGGACAAGGGCCCCCGAUACUGGCCGUCUCGAGGGAGGUAGGGGUCGAUGGAACUUCCGGUGGAGCGGUGAAAUGCGUUGAUAUCGGAAGGAACGCCGGUGGCGAAAGCGGCGUACUGGAUCUCUUCUGACGCUGAGGCGCGAAAGCUAGGGGAGCAAACGGG